GCUGGAGGGAUCCAAGAGCGACGAAAUUGUUCAUAAUCGUGUGCCUAAUUAUAACAAUAGUGUUAUAUGCAGUGCCACCAAAAAUGGUAGCAGUAGCCCUUGGAUUCUACUUCCUGCGCCAUCCCAUGUUCAGGGACCCAAUGCCACCUGCCACUUUGAAUUUCUUUAGAAGACUUCCAAGUUUAUCUGACCGUUUGAUGUAGUAGACACAGUCACUACACAUAAAAAUUAGUCAACUAUUCUUUUGAAAAAUUGUGAAGAAAAGAGAGCUUGUGUGUGAAAAACUCCCUUUUUUUCCACAAUGGUUGAAAAGGUGGGGGGUUUCAUUACAAACAUGGGAAGAGGUGAAAAGUGUAGGAAAGGGGCAAGUUGGGAUGAUUGACUUUUAACUGUUGGAAUAAGUAAAAAAAAGGAGAGGAGCCAUGGGGGCGAGAUUGAAGGGGUGAGAUUUUUGAUAGGACAAGAUUAUUUUUUGAUGUAAUUUUGUCGUGAAAAGUAUUGACAUUGAUUUCUAUUCCACGAAUAUAAAAAUGAAAGAUAAUGAUAUCUUUCUUUUACUGCAUUUCAAGCUUUAAGACUCAAUUCUGUUCCAACUUUGACAAGCGUUUUCUGACUCAACUCUUAAUUGAAACAAAUGAGAUAUACACAUAUGUUAUAGACACACAUUUGCUUGUUGCUUUUACUGAUGAGCUUAUAUUGAGUAUGUUAUUGUUGCUUUUAUGUCAUGUUAGGUGCACAGCAUUCAAGGCAACUUGAUACGUAUAAAUCCAAUGCCACCUGCCACUUUGAAUUUCUUUAGAAGACUUCCAAGUUUAUCUGACCGUUUGAUGUAGUAGACACAGUCACUACACAUAAAAAUUAGUCAACUAUUCUUUUGAAAAAUUGUGAAGAAAAGAGAGCUUGUGUGUGAAAAACUCCCUUUUUUUC
rnacentral:lncRNA from 1 species